GAUGAACGCUGGCGGCGUGCCUAAUACAUGCAAGUCGAGCGAAUGGAUUAAGAGCUUGCUCUUAUGAAGCUAGCGGCGGACGGGUGAGUAACACGUGGGUAACCUGCCCAUAAGACUGGGAUAACUCCGGGAAACCGGGGCUAAUACCGGAUAACAUUUUGAACCGCAUGGUUCGAAAUUGAAAGGCGGCUUCGGCUGUCACUUAUGGAUGGACCCGCGUCGCAUUAGCUAGUUGGUGAGGUAACGGUUCACCAAGGCAACGAUGCGUAGCCGACCUGAGAGGGGGAUGGGCGACGCUGGGACUGCGACACGGCCCAUAUUCCUACGGGGGGCAGCCGUAGGGAGUCUUCCGCAAUGGACCAAAGUCUGACGGAGCAACGCCGCGUGAGUGAUGAAGGCUGUCAGGUCGUAUAACGCUGUUGUUAGGGAAGAACAAGUGCUAGAUGAAUAAGCUGGCACCUUGACGGUAGCUAACCAGAAAGCCACGGCUAACGACGUGCCAGCCGCCGCAGUAA
rnacentral:rRNA from 1 species